rnacentral:SRP_RNA from 1 species
CCGUGCUAGGCGGGGAGUUAGCGGUGCCCUGUAUCCGCAAUCCGCUGUAGCGGAGCUGAACUCCUGCCCGAGGCAUGUCCUCUUUGAAGCCUGCCCGGUGCGUGCGGUGUUGAUGGCCGGGUCCUGCGCAACGGGGCUUUGUGAACCCCGUCAGGGCCGGAAGGCAGCAGCGGUAAGCAAAUCACCUCGUGUGCCGCGGGGGAGCCUGGUCGGAGCUGGCUGCAUCGGUAACGUUUGGAGGGGCUUGUCGACGGCGGGUGCACGG